GUGUCUGAAGGGGAUUUCUCCCCUUGUUGCUGCACUCUGCGCUUUCUGAAGCUCUCUUACAGCGCGUGUGGCUCUUCAGUCACAGGAACAGCUCUGAAGGAGAGGUUUUAUUCUGGCUCCUCUCCACCAAACGAAGGGGAAGGAAGUCCCCAAAACAUUUUUUGGGCACUUGUUAAGAAAUGUUUGAAUGCAGUGAAGUGUUCAGAGACUGAGAGCUUGUUAAAAUAGGAGAGGGGCAGCUGUUGGAGGGGAGGCAAAGCAGAAAGUUUCUUCAGAUGCAUUCCUUACUUUCUUUCUAGGAAAGAUUAAAAGCACUUCAAUUUGAGAAAAAUAAAUGUCCUUUCAGAUCUUCCUGUUACACACUUUAAAAUCAAAUGAGGCAGAAAAUUUGUUUGGCUGCUUGUAUGAGCAUCAGUCUUUUAUGUCUG